UGGGGAAUCUUGCACAAUGGGGGAAACCCUGAUGCAGCGACGCCGCGUGAGCGAUGAAGCCCUUCGGGGCGUAAAGCUCUUUCGACCGGAACGAUAAUGACGGUACCGGGAGAAGAAGCUGCGGCUAACUACGUGCCAGCAGCCGCGGUAAUACGUAGGCAGCAAGCGUUGUUCGGAGUUACUGGGCGUAAAGAGUGCGUAGGCGGUUUUCUAAGUUCGGUGUGAAAUCUCCCGGCUUAACUGGGAGGGUGCGCCGAAGACUGGGAAGCUGGAGUGUGGGAAAGGCAGGCGGAAUUCCUGGUGUAGCGGUGAAAUGCGUAGAUAUCAGGAGGAACACCGGCGGUGUAGACGGCUUGCUAGACCAUAACUGACGCUGAGGCACGAAAGCGUGGGUAGCAAACA
rnacentral:rRNA from 1 species